AUUGAACGCUGGCGGAAUGCUUUACACAUGCAAGUCGAACGGCAGCACGAGGGCAACCUUGGUGGCGAGUGGCGAACGGGUGAGUAAUACAUCGGAACGUGCCCAGUCGUGGGGGAUAACGUAGCGAAAGCUACGCUAAUACCGCAUACGAUCUAUGGAUGAAAGCGGGGGACCGUAAGGCCUCGCGCGAUUGGAGCGGCCGAUGGCAGAUUAGGUAGUUGGUGGGGUAAAGGCUCACCAAGCCUGCGAUCUGUAGCUGGUCUGAGAGGACGACCAGCCACACUGGAACUGAGACACGGUCCAGACUCCUACGGGAGGCAGCAGUGGGGAAUUUUGGACAAUGGGCGCAAGCCUGAUCCAGCCAUGCCGCGUGAGUGAAGAAGGCCU
rnacentral:rRNA from 1 species